ACCGGCGGCUCGAGUGGUGGCCAUUAUUACUGGGCUUAAAGCGUUCGUAGCUGGCUUGUUAAGUCUCUGGGGAAAUCUUCCGGCUCAACCGGAAGGCGUCUCAGGGAUACUGGCAGGCUAGGGACCGGAAGAGGUGAGAGGUACUCCAGGGGUAGGAGUGAAAACCUGUAAUCCUUGGGUGAGCACCUGUGGCGAAGGCGGCUCACCAGAACAGAUCCGAUAGUGAGGAACGAAAGCUGCUGGAGCAAAGAG
rnacentral:rRNA from 1 species